AACAGACUGGCGGCGCGCGGAAAACGCGUCACGUGACGACUGGCCCCGCCUCUUCCUCUCGGUCCCAUAUUGAACUCGAGUUGGAAGAGGCGAGUCCGGUCUCAAAAUGGAGGUGGCAACUAUGGCGGUGGUCCUGGUUAUAGUAGUAGAGGGGGCUAUGGUGGUGGUGGACCAGGAUAUGGAAACCAAGGUGGUGGAUAUGGUGGAGGUGGAGGAUAUGAUGGUUACAAUGAAGGAGGAAAUUUUGGCGGUGGUGGUUAUGGAUCUGGUGGUGGAAGUGGUGGAUAUGGUAGCAGAAGGUUCUAAAAACAGCAGAAAAGGGUAGGUAUCUUU
rnacentral:lncRNA from 1 species